CGGGGGGCAGCAGCAGUGGGGAAUAUUGCACAAUGGGGGAAACCCUGAUGCAGCAACGCCGCGUGGAGGAUGACGCAUUUCGGUGUGUAAACUCCUUUUAUAUAGGAAGAUAAUGACGGUACUAUAUGAAUAAGCACCGGCUAACUCCGUGCCAGCAGCCGCGGUAAUACGGAGGGUGAAGCGUUACUCGGAAUCACUGGGCGUAAAGCGCGCGCAGGCGGCCUUUUAAGUUGGAUGUGAAAGCCUAUGGCUUAACCAUAGAACUGCAUCCAAAACUAUCAGGCUAGAGUCUGGGAGGGGAAGAUGGAAUUAGUUGUGUAGGGGUAAAAUCCGUAGAGAUAACUAGGAAUACCAAAAGCGAAGGCGACCUUCUGGAACAGUACUGACGCUGAGGCGCGAAAGCGUGGGGAGCAAACAGUAUUAGAUACCCCUGUAGUC
rnacentral:rRNA from 1 species